GCCCGCUCAGAAACUUAAAUGAAUUGACGGGGCCCGCACAAGCGGUGGAGUAUGUGGUUAAUUCGAUGCAACGCGAAGAACCUUACCUGGUCUUGACAUCCCGGAGACCCUUAGGAAACUAGGGGGUGCUUCCAUCUGGAAGAAUCUGGAGACAGGUGCUGCAUGGCUGUCGUCAGCUCGUGUCGUGAGAUGUUGGGUUAAGUCCCGCAACGAGCGCAACCCUUGCCUUUAGUUGCCAGCAGUUCGGCUGGGCACUCUAAAGGGACUGCCGGUGUUAAACCGGAGGAAGGUGGGGAUGACGUCAAGUCCUCAUGGCCUUUAUGACCAGGGCUACACACGUACUACAAUGGCCGAUACAAAGGGCAGCGACACUGCGAGGUGAAGCCAAUCCCGUAAAAUCGGUCUCAGUCCGGAUUGGAGUCUGCAACUCGACUCCAUGAAGUUGGAAUCGCUAGUAAUCGUGGAUCAGCAUGCCACGGUGAAUACGUUCCCGGGCCUU
rnacentral:rRNA from 1 species